rnacentral:rRNA from 1 species
CGGGCUCAAACGGUGGAGGAAUGACGGGGAAACCCGUCAGCCAGCAAUGGCCGCCACCGAGGUGCUGCAUGGUUGUCGUCAGCUCGUGCCGUGAGGUGUCGGCUUAAGUGCCAUAACGAGCGCAACCCCUACCGACAGUUGCUAACUGGUCAAGCAGAGGACUCUGUCGGGACUGCCGGCGCAAGCUGUGAGGAAGGCGGGGAUGACGUCAAAUCAGCACGGCCCUUACGUCCGGGGCGACACACGUGUUACAAUGGCAGGUACAGCGGGAAGCCAUAUGGCGACAUAGAGCGGAACCCGAAAACCUGUCUCAGUUCGGAUCGGAGUCUGCAACUCGACUCCGUGAAGCUGGAUUCGCUAGUAAUCGCGCAUCAGCCACGGCGCGGUGAAUACGUUCCCGGGCC